rnacentral:rRNA from 1 species
GGGAAAGAUGAAAAGCACUUUGGAAAGAGAGUUAAACAGUAUGUGAAAUUGUUGAAAGGGAAACGAUUGAAGUCAGUCGUGUCAAGGGGAUUCAGCUGGCUCUGCCGGUGUACUUCCCCUUGACGGGUCAACAUCAGUUUUCCCCGGCGGAAAAGGGCGACGGGAAGGUGGCACCCUCGGGUGUGUUAUAGCCCGUUGCCGCAUACGUCGGUGGAGACUGAGGAACGCAGCUCGCCCUCACGGGCCGGGGUUCGCCCACGUCCGAGCUUAGGAUGUUGACAGAAUGGCUUUAAACGACCCGUCUUGAAACACGGACCAAGGAGUCUAACAUAUCUGCGAGUGUUUGGGUGUCAAACCCGGGCGCGUAAUGAAAGUAAACAUGGGAGGGAUCCGCAAGGAGCACCUUUGACCGAUCUGGAUCUUCUGUGAUGGAUUUGAGUAAGAGCAUAUAUGCUGGGACCCGAAAGAUGGUGAACUAUGCCUGAAUAGGGCGAAGCCAGGGGAAACUCUGGUGGAGGCUCGUAGCGAUUCUGACGUGCAAAUCGAUCGUCAAAUUUGGGUAUAGGGGCGAAAGGGGAAAGAUGAAAAGCACUUUGGAAAGAGAGUUAAACAGUAUGUGAAAUUGUUGAAAGGGAAACGAUUGAAGUCAGUCGUGUCAAGGGGAUUCAGCUGGCUCUGCCGGUGUACUUCCCCUUGACGGGUCAACAUCAGUUUUCCCCGGCGGAAAAGGGCGACGGGAAGGUGGCACCCUCGGGUGUGUUAUAGCCCGUUGCCGCAUACGUCGGUGGAGACUGAGGAACGCAGCUCGCCCUCACGGGCCGGGGUUCGCCCACGUCCGAGCUUAGGAUGUUGACAGAAUGGCUUUAAACGACCCGUCUUGAAACACGGACCAAGGAGUCUAACAUAUCUGCGAGUGUUUGGGUGUCAAACCCGGGCGCGUAAUGAAAGUAAACAUGGGAGGGAUCCGCAAGGAGCACCUUUGACCGAUCUGGAUCUUCUGUGAUGGAUUUGAGUAAGAGCAUAUAUGCUGGGACCCGAAAGAUGGUGAACUAUGCCUGAAUAGGGCGAAGCCAGGGGAAACUCUGGUGGAGGCUCGUAGCGAUUCUGACGUGCAAAUCGAUCGUCAAAUUUGGGUAUAGGGGCGAAAG